CAGCACCUCAAGUGGUCAGGAUGAUUAUUGGGCCUAAAGCAUCCGUAGCCGGCUCUGUAAGUUUUCGGUUAAAUCCAUGUGCUCAACGCAUGGGCUGCCGAAAAUACUGCAUAGCUAGGGAGUGGGAGAGGUAGACGGUACUCGGUAGGAAGGGGUAAAAUCCUUUGAUCUAUCGAUGACCACCUGUGGCGAAGGCGGUG
rnacentral:rRNA from 1 species